GUUGAGUGUUAGGAAUUCUUUGUAUGUUUUGGAUAACAAUCCUUCAUCAGAUGUGUCUUUUUUCCCCAAUCUAUAUCUUAUCUUCUAAUUCUCUUGAUAUUAUCUUUCACAGAGCAGAAUAUUUAAUUUUAAUGAAGUCAAGUUUAUCAAUUAUUUCUUUCAUGUAUCAUAUAUUUGAUGUUGAAUCUAAAAACCAUCAGUGUAACCAAAGUCAUGUAGGUUUUCUCCUAUGUUAUCUUCUAGAACUUUUAGAGUUUUGCAUUUUACGUUUAAGAUCCGUUUUGAGUUAACUUUUGUGAAGGGUAUAAGAUGUGUGUCUAGGUGCGUGUUUUUUUUUUUUUGCAUGUGGAUGUAUUCUAGCUGCUUUUGUUGAGGAGACUUAUCUGUUCCAUUGUGUUGCCUUUGCUUCUGUCUCAAAGAUCAGUUACCUAUAUUUAUGAGAUGGUUUCUGGGCUUCUAAUUUAUCCCAUUGGUCUAUUUGUCUGUUCUUUCACUAACACCACAGUGUUUGAUUACUGUAACUUUGCAGUAAGUCUUGAAAUUGAGUAGUGUCAGUCCUUCAACUUUGUUCUCCUUUAAUAUUGUGUUAGCUAUUCUUGAAACUUUAUUUUUGACAAAUGUAGAUUUCUGGGUUUUAAGGACAUGCCAGAUUAGUAAAUGUAGGAAUGCUAGAAGAUAUUUUUGACACUAAGGGAAGAGACCAAAACUAAAGUGUAGCCACAAAGUUGGAUUGCCAUACCCAUAAUGAUAGAAAUUCAUAAGGAUAGUGUUGAGUCACCCAGAAAAGUUAUAUUGUGUCUUUUUUUUUGAAGUAACAGAUUAGGGGAACUAACCUUUAUUUAGUAUAAGAAAUUGGCUCACAUAGUUACGGAGGCUGAUAAGUCCCAAGAUCUGCAAGAUCUGGAGAUCUAAGGUUGCUGACGGUGUAAUCCCAGUCCACGUCUGAGGGGCCGAGAACCAGGAGGGCCAGUAAUGCAGUUCCAACCCAAAGACUGCAGGCCUGAGACACAGGAGGAGCCAUUGUUUCAGUCCGAGAUGAAGGAAGGAGAAAACUGCUGUCUCGGUUUGAAGGCAAUCAGACAGCAAGUGACUGCUGGGAAAAGGGAACUGAUGGCAUCCUGUCAUGAGCCCGAGGAUCCAAGGCAAAGACGCCUCAUUCAUAUACUGCUUCCUCAGGGGGCUGUCCCUAGACACUGCCUAAAGUAGUCCUUCCAGCUGCUCUCAUUUAUUCAUUCACAGAAGUUUACUGAGAGCCUGUCCAUGAAAGGUAUUGGGAAUUCAACAGUGA